UACGAAGGGGGCUAGCGUUGCUCGGAAUCACUGGGCGUAAAGCGCACGUAGGCGGAUUGCUAAGUCAGGGGUGAAAUCCUGGAGCUCAACUUCAGAACUGCCUUUGAUACUGGCGAUCUUGAGUCCGGGAGAGGUGAGUGGAACUGCGAGUGUAGAGGUGAAAUUCGUAGAUAUUCGCAAGAACACCGGUGGCGAAGGCGGCCUUCUGGACAGUGACUGACGCUGAGGCACGAAGGCCAGGGGAGCAAACGGG
rnacentral:rRNA from 1 species